rnacentral:rRNA from 1 species
AACGAACGCUGGCGGGCACGCCUAACACAUGCAAGUCGAACGGGGUUUAUGUUUUCGGGAUAUAAGCCUAGUGGCGGACGGGUGAGUAACGCGUGGGAACCUGCCUUGCAGUAAGGAAUAACGCCGGGAAACCGGUGCUAAUACCGUAUACGCCCGAGAGGGGAAAGAUUUAUCGCUGUAAGAUGGGCCCGCGUAAGAUUAGCUAGUUGGUGAGGUAAUGGCUCACCCAAGGCUAUGAUCUUUAGCUGGUUUGAGAGGAUGAGCCAGCCACAUCUGGGACUGAGACACGGCCCAG